CUCAGGGGGUUGUGGUUCACCCUCUCGGGGGGGACGUAGGUUGGGUCCGCAAGAUGGGGCCGCCUCAGCCUUGGUCGUAGAAGAGACUUCAAUAGUGGCUGGGUCUGUAAGAGGGCCGCGUCGUCCUCGGGGGGGUGGAUGCAGUGUGGGCAGUUGGAUCCGUUCCGCCUCGCUUUCCAAGGGUGGGGUACCGAGUAGCGUCCCAUGCUUAAGAACGGCGGGUGUUUCGUUGCCGGGUCCGUGCGCGGACCGCGUCCUCCCUGCGGUGGGGGGAUUGGGGGGUUGGGUUCCCUGAGCAAGGCGGAUGGGAACCACCCUCAG
rnacentral:autocatalytically_spliced_intron from 1 species